GAUGAACGCUGGCGGCGUGCCUAAUACAUGCAAGUCGAGCGAACAGACGAGGAGCUUGCUCCUCUGACGUUAGCGGCGGACGGGUGAGUAACACGUGGAUAACCUACCUAUAAGACUGGGAUAACUUCGGGAAACCGGAGCUAAUACCGGAUAAUAUAUUGAACCGCAUGGUUCAAUAGUGAAAGACGGUUUUGCUGUCACUUAUAGAUGGAUCCGCGCCGCAUUAGCUAGUUGGUAAGGUAACGGCUUACCAAGGCGACGAUGCGUAGCCGACCUGAGAGGGUGAUCGGCGAUACUGGAACUGAGACACGGUCCAGACUCCUACGGGAGGCAGAAGUAGGGAAUCUUCCGCAAUGGGCGAAAGCCUGACGGAGCAACGCCGCGUGAGUGAUGAAGGUCUUCGGAUCGUAAAACUCUGUUAUUAGGGAAGAACAAAUGUGUAAGUAACUAUGCACGUCUUGACGGUACCUAAUCAGAAAGCCACGGCUAACUACGUG
rnacentral:rRNA from 1 species